rnacentral:rRNA from 1 species
CCUACGGGAGGCAGCAGUGAGGAAUAUUGGUCAAUGGACGAGAGUCUGAACCAGGCAAGUAGCGUGAAGGAUGACUGCCCUAUGGGUUGUAAACUUCUUUUAUAUGGGAAUAAAAUGUUCCACGUGUGGGAUUUUGUAUGUACCAUAUGAAUAAGGAUCGGCUAACUCCGUGCCAGCAGCCGCGGUAAUACGGAGGAUCCGAGCGUUAUCCGGAUUUAUUGGGUUUAAAGGGAGCGUAGGUGGAUUGUUAAGUCAGUUGUGAAAGUUUGCGGCUCAACCGUAAAAUUGUAGUUGAAACUGGCAGUCUUGAGUACAGUAGAGGUGGGCGGAAUUCGUGGUGUAGCGGUGAAAUGCUUAGAUAUCACGAAGAACUCCGAUUGCGAAGGCAGUUCACUGGACUGCAACUGACACUGAGGCUCGAAAGUGUGGGUAUCAAACAGGAUUAGAUACCCCAGUAGUC